rnacentral:tRNA from 1 species
AGUGGAGUAGCGGUAACGCCAUCGCUCUGGGAAGCUGUGGGACCUGGGUUCGAGUCCCG